GGGUCCGGACACACUGAGGAUUGACAGGCAAAAGAUACAAGUUUUCUUUGUGAGAGCUUGCAUUGUAAAAUAUGCGAGUCCUUUCAUGAUUAUGUGAUAGGUGGUGCAUGGCCGUUCUUAGUUCGUGGAGUGAUCUGUCUGCUUAAUUGCGUUUCACAACGAUUUAAAAUGCUAUGUUUUCUGUGUUUGCUGUUCGGUUUUAGCUCUUACGGGAGUUUUUAACUUUGAACGCACACGGCGUAGCUUAAAACAAUCGGAAAGCAACGAACGUGACCGCAACCUCUUAUUGCCUUUAUUUUUAAAAGCGUGGAAAAUUUUAUUUUCCUACGCUUGAAAAAGGCUUUAAAACUAGAGGGACCGCUGUUCUAUUCUCUUAAACCAGAGGAAGAUUGCGGCAAUAACAGGUCUGUGAUGCCCUCAGAUGUUCCGGGCUGCACACGUGCUACAAUGAUUGUUGCAGUGAGCAUCUAUUUUCAAACGCUACCGUUGCGGAUUUUGUGAGAAGGGGGAUUUGUUUUAAAGCUUCGGCAGAGAAGCAGGUUCUUUUUUUUCACAAUUUAUUCCGCGUUACGUGUCAGCUAAACCUGCUUCGAAAGCAAGUAGGU
rnacentral:rRNA from 1 species